rnacentral:tRNA from 3 species
UGGGGUGUAGCCAAGCGGUAAGGCACUGGAUUUUGAUUCCAGCAUGCACAGGUUCGAAUCCUGUCACCCCAGCCA